rnacentral:rRNA from 1 species
UACGUAGGUGGCGAGCGUUGUCCGGAGUUACUGGGUGUAAAGCGCGUGUAGGCGGCAGGCCAAGUCGGUGGUGAAAGCGCCCGGCUCAACUGGGCGAGGUCCAUGGAAACUGGUCAGCUGGAGGACGGUAGAGGCGAGUGGAAUUCCCGGUGUAGUGGUGAAAUGCGCAGAUAUCAGGAAGAACACCAAUGGCGAAAGCAGCUCUCUGGGACGGUACUGACGCUGAGACGCGAAAGCGUGGGGAGCGAACAGG